AUGGGGAUGAGGCGCCGGAUCCGGGCGUGGCCCGGGGAGGGCGUGGCGCUGCAGGGGGCUCCUGUCCGGGAGGCCGUGACCCUGCUGGAGUCCGGGGGGGACCUCCAGCCCCCCGGGGGGUCCCUGACUCUGCUCUGCCGCGGGUCUGGAUUCGAUUUCGGACAAUUUGGGAUGGGCUGGAUGCGCCAGAGCCCCGGGAAGGGGCUGGAAUUUGUUGCAAGGAUCAACACUGGUGGCAGCACCGACUACGCGCCCUCAGUCAAGGGCCGGUUCAGGAUCUCCAGGGACAACGGGCAGAGCUCGGUGAUGCUGACCAUGAACAACCUCAAGGACGAGGAUUCCGGUGUCUAUUUCUGUGCCAAAUCUGCUGGUGCUAGUGGUGCUACUGUUGGUGCUUAUGCUGCCGUUGCCAGUGGUGUCCCCUGA